UGGGUACCGCAUUUCCUGUGCAGUCUGGA
rnacentral:piRNA from 1 species